UCAGUAUGUGGUUUGCCCAUUGCUACUGAC
rnacentral:piRNA from 1 species